GGCCAGACUCCUACGGGAGGCAGCAGUGGGGAAUAUUGGGCAAUGGGCGCAAGCCUGACCCAGCGACGCCGCGUGAGGGAAGACGGUCUUCGGAUUGUAAACCUCUUUCAGCAGGGAAGACAAAAGGACGGUACCUGCAGAAGAAGCCACGGCUAACUACGUGCCAGCAGCCGCGGUAAUACGUAGGUGGCAAGCGUUAUCCGGAAUUACUGGGUGUAAAGGGCGCGUAGGCGGGAUGGCAAGUCAGAUGUGAAAUCCAAGGGCUCAACCCUUGAACUGCAUUUGAAACUGUCGUUCUUGAGUACUGGAGAGGUUGACGGAAUUCCUAGUGUAGCGGUGAAAUGCGUAGAUAUUAGGAGGAACACCAGUGGCGAAGGCGGUCAACUGGACAGCAACUGACGCUGAGGCGCGAAAGCGUGGGGAGCAAACAGGAUUAGAUACCCGUGUAC
rnacentral:rRNA from 1 species